AUCUCUGUAGAGUCUGCAUAUCAAUAAGCGGAGGAAAAGAAACUAACAAGGAUUCCCUUAGUAACGGCGAGUGAAGCGGGAAGAGCUCAAAUUUGAAAUCUUCAAGGUUCUACCUUGACGAAUUGUAGUUUAAAGAAGUGUUUUCUGUUAGAUGAGUAGCAAAAGUUCCUUGGAAUGGGACAUCAUAGAGGGUGAGAAUCCCGUAUUUGGUUAUUCAUUCUAGCUUUGUGAUACACUUUCAAAGAGUCGGAUUGUUUGGGAAUGCAGUCCAAAAUGGGUGGUAAAUUUCAUCUAAAGCUAAAUAUUGGCGAGAGACCGAUAGCGAACAAGUACCGUGAGGGAAAGAUGAAAAGAACUUUGAAAAGAGAGUUAAACAGUACGUGAAAUUGUCAAAGGGAAGCGUUUGACACCAGUGUUGUUUUUCCGAAAAUCAAUUACGAAUGGCUUGAUUUUGUGUUGUAUUGACCUUAUCAGCUUUCUUCACUUUUUUCGAGUCUUUCUUAAUGCACUUUUUCGGUUAACAAGUCAACAUCAAUUUCUUUUGUUGUAAAAGAGUAUUCGGAAGGUGGCUUUCUUUUCGGAGAAAGUGUUUAUAGCCCUAUACUUCUACAAUCGGAGAGAUUGAGGUCUGCAGCGUAGAUCCUUCGGGGUUAGAUACACUUGUGCUAAGUUGUAGCUUUUCAUAGACAACUUGUUGACUAUGUUCAGUCAUGCGGCUUACUCGCUUGUGCUAUUUUACCUACGCUUAGGAUGUUGACUGAUAUGUAGUCGUA
rnacentral:rRNA from 1 species